rnacentral:tRNA from 1 species
GCCUUCGUGGUUUAGUGGUCAGCACGCCCCGACUCGUAACCGAGAGGUCCGUGGUUCGAUUCCCGGCGAAGGCG